ensembl:snRNA U6 U6 spliceosomal RNA
GUGCUGGCUUCAGCAGUGCAUAUUCUAAAACUGGAAUGAUAUAUAAAGACUAGCAUGGGCUCUGUGAAAGCAGGACAUGCAAAUUCAUGAAGCAUUCCAUAUUUUU